UGCAGUCGACGCUUUGUGGUUCAACUGAUUUGAAGAGCUUGCUCAGAUAUGACGAUGGACAUUGCAAAGAGUGGCGAACGGGUGAGUAACACGUGGGAAACCUACCUCUUAGCAGGGGAUAACAUUUGNAAACAGAUGCUAAUACCGUAUAACAAUGACAACCGCAUGGUUGUUAUUUAAAAGAUGGUUCUGCUAUCACUAAGAGAUGGUCCCGCGGUGCAUUAGCUAGUUGGUAAGGUAAUGGCUUACCAAGGCGAUGAUGCAUAGCCGAGUUGAGAGACUGAUCGGCCACAAUGGGACUGAGACACGGCCCAUACUCCUACGGGAGGCAGCAGUAGGGAAUCUUCCACAAUGGGCGAAAGCCUGAUGGAGCAACGCCGCGUGUGUGAUGAAGGGUUUCGGCUCGUAAAACACUGUUGUAAGAGAAGAAUGACAUUGAGAGUAACUGUUCAAUGUGUGACGGUAUCUUACCAGAAAGGAACGGCUAAAUACGUGCCAGCAGCCNGCGGU
rnacentral:rRNA from 1 species